rnacentral:rRNA from 1 species
GAGUUUGAUCCUGGCUCAGGAUGAACGCUGGCGGCGUGGAUAAGGCAUGCAAGUCGAUCGCAUUUAGUUGCGAGGCAAACGGGUUAGUAACACGUAGGAACGUACCUCAAAGACAGGGAUAACCUUGCGAAAGCGAGAAUAAUACCUGAUAAUCUCUUCGGAGUAAAGAUUUAUCGCUUUGAGAGCGGCCUGCGUCCUAUCAGCUUGUUGGUGAGGUAAUGGCUCACCAAGGCUAUGACGGGUAGGGGACGUGAGAGCGUGACCCCCAACAUUGGCACUGAGACACUGGCCAAACACCUACGGGUGGCUGCAGUCGAGAAUCUUCCACAAUGGGCGCAAGCCUGAUGGAGCGACGCCGCGUGCAGGAUGACAGCCUUCGGGGUUGUAAACUGCUUUUNGAAAGGAAGAAUCCGCCUCGGCGGCA